rnacentral:rRNA from 1 species
CCUACGGGCGGCAGCAGUGGGGAAUAUUGCACAAUGGGGGAAACCCUGAUGCAGCGACGCCGCGUGAGUGAAGAAGUAUUUCGGUAUGUAAAGCUCUAUCAGCAGGGAAGAAAAUGACGGUACCUGAUUAAGAAGCCCCGGCUAACUACGUGCCAGCAGCCGCGGUAAUACGUAGGGGGCAAGCGUUAUCCGGCUUUACUGGGGGUAAAGGGAGCGUAGACGGCAGCGCAAGUCUGAAGUGAAAUGCCGGGGCUUAACCCCGGAACUGCUUUGGAAACUGUGCAGCUAGAGUGCAGGAGAGGUAAGUGGAAUGCCUAGUGUAGCGGUGAAAUGCGUAGAUAUUAGGAGGAACACCAGUGGCGAAGGCGGCUUACUAAACUAUAACUGACACUGAAGCACGAAAGCGUGGGGAUCAAACAGGAUUAGAUACCCUAGUAGUC